rnacentral:rRNA from 1 species
GCGCGCGCAGGUGGUUUCUUAAGUCUGAUGUGAAAGCCCACGGCUCAACCGUGGAGGGUCAUUGGAAACUGGGAGACUUGAGUGCAGAAGAGGAAAGUGGAAUUCCAUGUGUAGCGGUGAAAUGCGUAGAGAUAUGGAGGAACACCAGUGGCGAAGGCGACUUUCUGGUCUGUAACUGACACUGAGGCGCGAAAGCGUGGGGAGCAAACAGGAUUAGAUACCCUGGUAGUCCACGCCGUAAACGAUGAGUGCUAAGUGUUAGAGGGUUUCCGCCCUUUAGUGCUGAAGUUAACGCAUUAAGCACUCCGCCUGGGGAGUACGGCCGCAAGGCUGAAACUCAAAGGAAUUGACGGGGGCCCGCACAAGCGGUGGAGCAUGUGGUUUAAUUCG